UACGUAGGGGGCAAGCGUUGUCCGGAAUUAUUGGGCGUAAAGCGCGCGCAGGUGGUGGAUUAAGUUGUGGGUAAAAGGCAAUGGCUCAACCAUUGUAAGCCUGCAAACUGGUUCACUUGAGUGCAGGAGAGGGGAGUGGAAUUCCCGGUGUAGCGGUGGAAUGCGUAGAUAUCGGGAGGAACACCAGUGGCGAAGGCGACUCUCUGGCCUGUAACUGACACUGAGGCGCGAAAGCGUGGGGAGCGAACAGG
rnacentral:rRNA from 1 species